UGCUGCAGACAUUUUUUAGUACCCUUCCCCAGAUCUGUACCCUUCCCCCCAAAUGGUGGACUGUAGCCUGCCAAGCGCACGCUGGGUCAGAAUGAUAAGGAGCCACCCAAUGAGAGUCGGUCCAUCUCACUGAUUAUUUUUCAACUAUGCUUUCUACAGACAGUGAACUGUUUUACAUUUUCAGACAUGGCUGAAUCGGGAGAAAGCGAAGAUAAAAUCAAAUUUCUAAGUACGGUAAGUAGGUUAAUGCUAAUGAGAAUUUAACACAAGUGGUUGCAUUGGCGGGAGAGUAAGGUUGUGUGCCGCAUACACUAUGUUGGGUAUCGAUACGGUAGCCAGAAAAAUAACCAUUUACAGUAGACUACCGUAAAAUAAUCACUGGUACUUUCGGCCACAAUGGUCAGGGGUAUGAUAACACUUUUACUUCUUCACCCUUUCCCACUGUCACACACUCUUUUGAAAGUUACUUAUAAAGAAUUACAAAAGCCAAACCUUCGUUUUCAUGAUAGAGAGUUGAGUACACUAUGAAACUGUUUAAUUGUUUGUCUAUUUGAAAGUUAUUAGACUGUGUUGAAUGGCUAUUACUUGUUUUUAAAGGUCCAAUGCAGAGAUUUUUUCUCUCAAAAUCACAACAUUUUUGGGUAACAAUUAAGUACCUUACUGUGAUUGUUUUAAAUUAAAAUGGUCACAAAUCUACUAAAAAAGUUUCUUAACAUUCCUCAAUAAAUAAUUUUGCUAGGACUGUCUGGGAGUGGUUUGAGUGUGAAGGGGGAAACAAAAAACUAGCUGUUAUUAGCAGAGAGGUUUGAAACUCUAUUUGUUAUUGUUUUAUUAACUAAUUUAAUGCCCGUUUAUGUCAUCCCAUCAAUACAGGCUGACAUUUUAGGCGUUUUUUCAAACAGCUCUCCCUUCAAACAGUUCUCCUAACCUCCUAGUGUGGAAAUAUAUAUUAAACACAGGGAAUCAUGUUUUUGACUGCACUGAGCCUUUAAAACUUACUAUUUUUACGAUACCAUGACAUGUUUUUAUUUUGCUAAGAAAAGACAGUAAAUUACAGAAUGUCACUCUCUCUAUUGCUCUCCUCUCAUUUGAGUGAAUAACAACCAUUUAUCCCUUUUCUUUAGUCACUCUUGCAAAUUACUUGCUGACUUUUCUUACAAACUCUAAAUAAACAUUAGCCUACUACUGUAGAAAUGUUAGUUUUUUUUUCUGUGUUUAAAUAUAUUAUCUCUACUGAGAUAACGGAGGCCUAUCAUUCUCUAUGGUUGUGAGUCAUCCUCUCACUGUAACGGGUGUCGUCGUCGGAUGAAGAGGAAUCGGACCGAAGCGCAUUACUCAUUACUUUUUAUUUAAACUGAACACUAAACAAAAAUAACAACGUGAAUAACCGAAACACUCCAGUCAGAUGCAAAACACUAAACAGAAAACAACUACCCACAAACACCAUGUAGGAAAAAGCUACUUAAGUAGGGUUCCCAAUCAGAGACAACGAUAGACCGCUGUCCCUGAUUGAGAACCAUACCCGGCCAAAACAAAGAAAUACAAAACCAUAGAAAAAAGAACAUAGAAUGCCCACCCAAAACACACCCUGACCAAACCAAAAUAGAGACAUAAAAAGCUCUAAGGUCAGGGCGUGACACUCAUGGCUUGGUAUCUCAGCCAUUUGAUAAAGACAUGUCACUGGUGGAGUGUUGGCUGAUGCUGUGUGAGACAGUCACGUGCUUAGAUGGACUAUUUAGGGCCGUGGUGACAGGUACUGCUUCAGGCAUUUUGGUCUCUCAGCCCAAGCUGGAAAUCUCUGAAACUAAGUUUGCAGUUAAUUUUGCUGUGGCCCUUAUCUCUGCUUGCAAAGAACUUGAGAUGGGCCAAGUCAAUCCCCCUGCCCUGCCCUGACCUGACUCUACAAUGCAAGAUUAAGCUCAGUAACAAUUCAAAACCUUUCAAAUCUCAUGGGAUAUUGACAAUUUUAAAUGUAUGGCCUGAGUGGAAAUGACAUUCUUCACCCCAGCCAGCUCUUCACCCCAGCCAGCCCUAUUCCUUACUCAGUUUGGUCCCUAAGUGGUUCUACUGUGCAGUGUGACUCAUAAAGUCCAGAGGCUGCUCAUAGUAGGGUGGAAUGGAGGUUGAGGCAGGGAUCAGACACCACAGUGGCAUCAUGCCCUGGGCACUGAGAGGAGUUCCAGCCUGGCUGCUUUCCUUAUAUGGCUGUGACCUGACUCCCUUGGUGUGCACUUUUUAAAGGAAUCUUUGCUACAAUGUUGAAGUAGUAUCUAAGCAGUGUUCAUUUUGGCAUUCUUUUUUAAAUUGAGUCUAGACUUAGUCAUUUUGAUUAAAAUUUAAUAGAGUCACAUUUUUGCCAUUUGAAUAAUGAUUUUGUGUAGUUAUUGUCAAAAUUAUGAAAACAGUUGGUCUUUUAGUCAACCAAAUGCCCUUUCAUUUUAGUCACAUCAAAUUUGUAUUGCCUCAUUAACUUAUACUGAACAAAAAUAUAAACGCAAUGUAACAAUUUCAAACUUACAGUUCACAUAAGGAAAUUAGUAAAUUGGAAAAUAAAAAGAAUGGCCCUAAUCUAUGGAUUUCAAAUGACUGGGAAUACAGAUAUGCAUCUGUUGGUGACAGAUAUUAUACAUCAUUUUUUGGGGGCGUGGAUCAGAAAACCAGUCAGUAUCUGGUGUGACCACCAUUUGCCUCAUGCAACGUGACAUAUCUCCUUCGCAUAGUUGAUCAGGCUGUUGAUUGUGGCUUGUGCAAUGUGGACAUUUUCAGCUUCCAGGAAUUGUGAAACAUAAGGUGAUAGUGACGGAUGAAUGGCACAAAAAUGGGCCUGUAAGGGUCCUAUGUGUAGUUGGUGUAGGGAGUCAGGCGCAGGACAGAAGAUAUGAGUAAUCAAAGUACUUUACUCAAAAAAUAUAAAUAUACAAGGCAACAAUGAUAGCCCACAAACACGGACCGAAUUACAAAUAAACAAUCACAAACACAACAUGGGGAACAGAGGGUUAAAUAAUAAACAAGUAAUUGCUUGAGUGAAGCCAGGGGAGAAAAGACAAAGACAGAACAAAUGGAAAAUGAAAAGUGGAUCGGCGGUGGCUAGAAACCCGGUGACGUCGACCACCGAACACUGCCCAAACGGCGGAAGUUGUGACAGGGCCUCAGGAUCUCGUCACGAUAUCUAUGUCAUGACUGUCCUGUGAGGAUCCAAAGAUUAGGACAGUGGAUCAGCGGGAGAGGGGGGACACAAACAAUAUAUUUCAACAUCCAAAUGUUAGAAAUGAUGAGAGAUGGAGUAUGGAAAAUGUAUGUCUAUUUUGUGAUGUCAUUAAUAUUAAUAUAAAGAUGAUAUAAUGAAAAUAUUGUAACUUGAAGAGCUUUUACACUGCGUAUAUCAGGUUUACAUCCUUUAUGUUGUGUAGAAAAUAUCAAGGCUAAACAGAAUGUUUGUGACAAUAGGAUUGUGAUUUUAGUUACUUAACGAGAUCAUAGUAAUUAUGAUACCUCGCCUCAUAACUAGCCACACCCCAUGGAGCCCAGAGAGCAUGACAGCAUGACAUUUUUACCAGAGGGUAUAAAAGAUUGAGUUAAAUGUGAACGUAUCAGACUAAAAGGACCACAAGCUGCAGCUAGGUCUACAUUAGUCACGAUCCUGAAACGCCACACGAGGUCGGUGAAGACAAACACGAGGUCGGUGAAGCCCAGCCAUGCCCGCUCUCUCUAGAGGCUGGAGAUACUGCGUGUUGCGUAAGUCUGUCACAUCUCUUUCUCAUACCCCUCAUACACACCCCAUAAGAUGCAGCCAUGUGCAGUCAUGUGUAUCUGUGUUUGUAAAAUAUGCGCUCACUUGUAUUUGGUCCAGUGGAGUGGUAGCGGUAAGAGGAGAGGUAAAACUGUUUGCAAACUGCAAAAAUAUUCAAAGAAUCUAAGUGCAGACAGCAUUCCUCCCUCCUCUUACUGCUAUUACCAUAGCUCCAUGCACUUAUUGCAUGCCGACUGAACUCUAGCUGAUUGAGCAGUAGCCAUACACGCUGAGGUCAGCCAUUCCGGCUCCACCAUGUCACCACAGGGAGGUACCUGAGUCUGACUGUGGAGAGAGGCCUUCACCUGAUGGACAGGGGGAGGGCCGACGUCAGGUCCAUAUCCUGCUGCCGACCCUCCAAGGUCAGAGGUCAAAUGACAAAUUAUCUGUUCUUUGUCUACCCCGAACACAUAGGCAAAAUCUGAUACCCAGUGGUAUUGAUUGGUAAAAUGUUGUUGUUGAUUAGAAUCACAUUUCCGCAUUAGUCUUUAGGAGAAGCUGAAGUAUGGACCAAAGAAGCACAUAGAUGGUAUGGCUGCCACAGUGAUCAAGUAUGAAGACUCCAUGUGCUACGUCCAGCAUGUGGACUUUGGUCUGUAGCUCACCUACAAAGCCAUCAAUGCCAAGUUUGUCUGCCUGGGAGGGGUGCAGCACAAGGUAAUAUAAUGUAUUUUUCCAGCACUGAUUUCUGCUGAACUUCAUUACACUGUAGGCUUACUCAGUAUUUGAGUCAUUACUUUGACAUGUGCUUAUUUUCCCAUCUUUAAUUUGUUGACUUUUGUGUGUACUGUGUACUGUAUUGUGUUUUGUUGUCACAUUGUCCCAUGACCUUUUCUCUUGGUUAUUAUGCACAGUGAGUGUCACAUGGAUGACGGUCUGAGCCUGUCCCUUUAUCAUAGAGAAGAGUCCCACCCAACCAGACUCAUCCUCAGCACAGUCCUCUUCUUCACACACUUCAUCAAACAGGCCACCACACAGCCCUCUAGGGAACCUGGCUAACUGGGUUCCCCCAGAGGGAUUUAGCUGAGGAGACUUGAUGGUCUUAGUCAGCAGGGGAACGUUCCCUCUUUCAACCUGCCACUAGAGACAGUGGGCAUGAGUCUGCAGGAUUUGAUUGGCUACCUCCAGACACAAGGGGAGGGGCUAAGACCUGAGGCUAGGUAGAAAAGUGUGCGAGCACUGAAGAACAGUGUAGGGGGUCAUCAGGUUUGGUCCUUGACUGCAUUGACCAUUUACACCUGUACAGCAACGCAACUCAUUUUGCUAAGCUGCUGGGAAAAGGGAGCAGAUGAGUGGGAGAACAUCCUCAACUACUUAUAUGAGCUACCAGGAAAUCACGCACAGAACGAGCAGUAUGGCUGGAGGGUCAUGUCAGG